rnacentral:rRNA from 1 species
AUUGAACGCUGGCGGCAGGCUUAACACAUGCAAGUCGAGCGGAGAUGAGGUGCUUGCACCUUAUCUUAGCGGCGGACGGGUGAGUAAUGCUUAGGAAUCUGCCUAUUAGUGGGGGACAACAUUCCGAAAGGAAUGCUAAUACCGCAUACGUCCUACGGGAGAAAGCAGGGGAUCUUCGGACCUUGCGCUAAUAGAUGAGCCUAAGUCGGAUUAGCUAGUUGGUGGGGUAAAGGCCUACCAAGGCGACGAUCUGUAGCGGGUCUGAGAGGAUGAUCCGCCACACUGGGACUGAGACACGGCCCAGACUCCUACGGGAGGCAGCAGUGGGGAAUAUUGGACAAUGGGCGCAAGCCUGAUCCAGCCAUGCCGCGUGUGUGAAGAAGGCCUUAUGGUUGUAAAGCACUUUAAGCGAGGAGGAGGCUACUUUAGUUAAUACCUAGAGAUAGUGGACGUUACUCGCAGAAUAAGCACCGGCUAACUCUGUGCCAGCCGCCGCCGUAAAAC